UACGUAGGCAGCGAGCGUUGUUCGGAGUUACUGGGCGUAAAGCGUGCGUAGGCGGUUCGGUAAGUCUGUUGUGAAAUCUCCCGGCUUAACUGGGAGGGUGCGGUGGAAACUGUGGUGCUGGAGUGUGGGAGAGGUAGGCGGAAUUCCUGGUGUAGCGGUGAAAUGCGUAGAUAUCAGGAGGAACACCUGUGGUGUAGACGGCUUACUGGACCAUGACUGACGCUGAGGAGCGAAAGCGUGGGGAGCGAACAGG
rnacentral:rRNA from 1 species